rnacentral:rRNA from 1 species
CAGUCGCCACGGUAAUACGUAGGGUCCGAGCGUUGUCCGGAAUUACUGGGCGUAAAGAGCUCGUAGGUGGUUUGUCGCGUUGUUCGUGAAAACUCACAGCUUAACUGUGGGCGUGCGGGCGAUACGGGCAGACUAGAGUACUGCAGGGGAGACUGGAAUUCCUGGUGUAGCGGUGGAAUGCGCAGAUAUCAGGAGGAACACCGGUGGCGAAGGCGGGUCUCUGGGCAGUAACUGACGCUGAGGAGCGAAAGCGUGGGGAGCGAACAGGAUUAGAUACCCCCGUAGUCCCUGUCUCUUAUAC